GCACAAGCGGUGGAGCAUGUGGUUAAUUCGAUGCAACGCGAAGAACCUUACCUGGUCUUGACAUCCACGGAAGUUUUCAGAGAUGAGAAUGUGCCUUCGGGAACCGUGAGACAGGUGCUGCAUGGCUGUCGUCAGCUCGUGUUGUGAAAUGUUGGGUUAAGUCCCGCAACGAGCGCAACCCUUAUCCUUUGUUGCCAGCGGUCCGGCCGGGAACUCAAAGGAGACUGCCAGUGAUAAACUGGAGGAAGGUGGGAUGACGUCAAGUCAUCAUGGCCCUUACGACCAGGGCUACACACGUGCUACAAUGGCGCAUACAAAGAGAAGCGACCUCGCGAGAGCAAGCGGACCUCAUAAAGUGCGUCGUAGUCCGGAUUGGAGUCUGCAACUCGACUCCAUGAAGUCGGAAUCGCUAGUAAUCGUGGAUCAGAAUGCCACGGUGAAUACGUUCCCGGGCCUU
rnacentral:rRNA from 1 species